AAAGUUUGAUUUUUUCUUGUAAUUCUUAUGGUAGUUACUGAAUUUGUAUGAGAGGUGUUGCAUGUAAUAUAUGGAAGUUUAAAAUUUACAUAAGUGGGUUUAUUGAUAAUAAGAGAUUUUUAUCAAAUCUUAAUCCUCAGCAUUUAGUAUUAAAUAAUUUAAAAAAUUAAGAUUUAGCAGUAAGUUUAAGCCUAAUUAAUAUUGUGCCAGCAGUUGCGGUUAUACUCUAAGGCUAAGUGAUAAUAUAUUGGUUUGUUGUUAAGCGAUAAAAAUUAUAUUAAGGAGAAACUGGAAAAUAAAAAGGUGAAAUUGAAUUAUUUUUUACAGGAAAAAUAAAGAUUAGUAAUUAGAGCUGAAGCAAAAAAAAGUUGGAUUUAAACUAGGAUUAGAUACCCUAUUAUACCGAAAAGUAAUAUUAUACAAACCUAAGUAUUUAAAGUUAUGUACUUGAAAUUUGAAGAAUUUGGCGGUGAUUUAGUCUUGUCAGAGGAACCUGUUUUUGAAUCGAUACACCCCGAAGAAUCUUACUUAAGCUUGUUGUAGUAUGUAUACCAUCAUUAUUAGGUAAUUUUUAUAGAAUAAAUUACUGUAUAUUUGUUAAUAACGUUAAAUAUAUUAGAUCAAGGUGCAGCUAAUGCUUAAGUUAAAAUGGGUUACAAUAAAAUUUAUUUAAUACGGAAUAUCAAUUUAAACAGUUGAUUAGAAGGAGGAUUUGAUUGUAAAGUAAGUUUAAUAAGCUUAGUUAGAUAUAAGCUCUAAAUCAUGUACAUAUCGCCCGUCGCUUUCAUUAUUAAGAUGAGAUAAGUCGUAACAUAGUAGGCUUACUGGAAAGUGAGCCUGGACAGGGAGAAU
rnacentral:ncRNA from 1 species